CAGGCUGACCUCAAACUCUCGAUCAUUCUGUCUUAGCCUCAUGAGUGCUUGAACCAUAGGUUUAUCUCAACAUAUCCAGCUUGGAUAUCUUUCUGGGGUUGUCAAGGUGGACAGUAGGUAUGUGAUAUGAGCAGUAGAGACACAGUCCUACCUCAGGAAGCCUCCAUCUAAAUGGAACAAAGGGCGUGUGAGGAAGAUGUGCAGGGCAAGGAACAAGGGGGUCAGACCUAGGGCACCAAUGGGCAGAAAAUUCCUGGAGGAAGAGGCGAAAUCGAACAUCCGGGGGAUGAGAAAGAGCUGAACCAAGAGGAGGAAGUUAUGUUCUAGGUGGGGAACUGUGUAGCAAUGCUAAGACCAAGAGAUAAGAAAGCAACACACAUCGGAGGCCAGAACUCAGGUGCGGGGCAGGGUGAAGGAAAUGAAGGGACCUGGGAGACCAGAAGCCACUCAGCAGCCUUAGGCAGAGCUGCAGCGAGAUCUCAUCUCGUUAUGAAGCAUCACUCUGGCCAGGAAAAUGCAAAGUCAAGUUCGGAGAUCCCCACAUGCUAGCCAGGCAGGCCAGUACGAAGGACAAGGACAAGUGGUGGCAAGGAGGCAGAGGAGCAGGGACGCGUGCGCAGCCGUGAGAGCGUAAACCGCCGCCUCGGUGGUGCCGUGGACGGGCCGCAGAACAGGGAAGGAGAACCGCCAUUCGCUCCAGCCAUCUCGUUUCCAGAGUGAAAAGGGGGCUGCCUGAAGACACGACUUUUCCUGCAGACUGCCUCUCCUAGGACUGUAUAGAUGGGUUCUUUCAAUCUCACUCCAACCUCCCUACUUGUUCUCUCCAUCUGAAGAACUCUGACUAACACAGGCAUUGUGGGGGAAGUCAUUCUGAGAAGAAACAUACGAGGAACAGGGCCAAGACAACCAUAGAGGAUAUAAACAAGAGCCUGGAUCAGAACAUGGUGAAACCUGUCCAUACCCAUCAAGAUAAAUUCAUUGCCAAGCAACAGAAAGCCCACUGCCUUAAGCCCCAUGGAAAUUUCGUGUGCCCCAGAGAGCACAAACCCCAGUAGAAGAGACUCUAGGGUCAGCUGGGUCUGGUCACUGAGUUCACUGACAUCGCCACCAGGAGUGUUUGCACCUAUAAAGAUUCGUCUGCUAUGAGAAGCAGGAAGAAAUGGAAACAAAGCCCCAUCCUUGAGCAAUUUGCCAUUCAGUAGGAGAACAGAAGGAAGGCAUUUAUAAACAACAGUGACUCCACCAGAAGAGGGGUUUCUAAAAAGUAAUCACAAGAUCACACAUGCAUCUUUAAAAAUCCAGAUGUUGGAGUAGGCAAGAUUGCUCACUGGGCAAAGGUACUCAUGACCCAGGCAUGAGUUUGAUCUCCAGAACCCAAGAGGUAAAAAAAGAGAACCAGUUCUCACAAGUUAUCUUCUGACUGCCACAUGAAUGCACAGGUGUGCUCAUUCCCACACUCAAUAAACAAAGAAACAAAUAAAUGAUAAAAAUAAAU